AGUCUCUCGAAAGGGGGGAAAAAAAAACCCCCUUCGGAUUUUGGACGUAUGCCCGUGAUAUACAAGGGCUCGUCUUCAAACCCAUCGUCCGGAGCGCGCCGCCUUUCUUUUUUAGACGUGAUAAGCUUGCGUCGUCGGAAGGCGGGGGAACCUCCCGGACGCGUCUCCGUCCCCCUUCGCGGAGGGACGGAAAAACGGCGCACGCCCCCACGAUCAUU
rnacentral:misc_RNA from 1 species